CGCAAUCUCCACUUCCAUCCACGUAGGCCGGACUCAGGCACAAGCCCUGGAUGUGGUGGGGUAGAGAGCGUCAUUGUGACACUGCACAGCAGUGAUAUACAGUACUCAAUCCGGACCGGAGGCUAUUGACUCGAAGGGAAUCAUGCACGAGCAUGGAUACAGAUACUAAUCUAAGUUAUCUGUCAAUUCAUCUCCAUCUACCUGCUGUUAUCGAAUAGCUAAGUAAAAUUGAUUUAGCUCGACUGCAAGCUAAAGACGAUAGCUUUUAUUAGACGUCAUAAGCUAACCGGCUAGCUAGCUCAUAUAGGAUGACAGACAGACUGCCAGAUGAGGGACACCACAUGCAGUGUUUGGGAUGCAGACAAAGACGGACUGAAAUGAAUGGAUUCCAAUUAUAUCAUUACAUUAACAGUUCAACACAUGGCCUCGUGAUCAAGUUCAACGAAUGUGUGAAUGCCACAGACAAGUGAGCCGUCAACCCUCUCCACAAGGCACCUCAGAAGGCUGAUGAUAUGUGCCCUGUUUAUGGACACUAUGCCCCCAGAUGCAGAGAAGAGGGAUCACCAGCUCAGCUCAUCAAACUGUCCAAUUUUUACAGGGGACAACAGACUUGAUCGAGGUCUUCACGGUCCAAAAAGCCUGUAAAGAAAUCAACCACCACAUCUCCCCCAAGUCCAAAGGAGGGAGUGAAUGGCGCACAGACAUUGUGGAGACAAGUAAUUGGUUCCCCAUGAAUCACAUGGUUUAAAAUAGGUAAAGACACAUUCACAUAUGAAGAAAAUGUUCCCUCCUGUCCUCUUCUCUUUCUGAUAUUCUGCAUAUCACCAGGGACAUGUGAAAGACAAGCCUGACUUCUCCCGUCUCUGGGCCCCAGGUGACCUAGGCCCAUAUGAGGGAUGAAGGGCAACUGCCAACGGCAGAAUCCGAAGGGAUACAUUCUAACAACAAGAGUUCAAUAGUUCAAUCAUAUAAGCAUAUUAUGUAGAUAAGACAUCUUAAUUAUCUAUGUCACAGAUGUCUGACAGAAAUGUGUUCUUUAUUUUCCUGUAAGAAUUUGUGUAGUUUGCUACCAGCUUGAGCUCAACUUGCUUGUUGUUUUCUGGACAGUUUAGUAUUUUUUGACUAAUUUAUUGCAUUAUGACUAAACUGUGAACUGUGGUGGUUAUGAUCUUGUGAACAUUUGUUUGACCUUGCGCCCAGAUUGUCCUAACUGAGGAUGCUGUGUAGGACAGAGAGAAGUUGAUCCACAACAAGAUAUGUAAUUGCUUGUGAUGUCUGGUGGUGAGGAUAAGUUUGCCGAAAAUAGACAUUGAAAUAUUUUCGUCUUUUUUUUAUUGAGUGUGCAUGCAUUAGUGAUCUACUCUGUCAGUAAUAAUUUCAAGAGAUUUUCAGAAUGGCGAAGUUUGGCUCUAUCAUUGUUGCAAGUAAAUGGUUCAAAGCAAGCUAAAGUUCACUCUUCUCUGAUGUGAGUGACACAGCCCUCUCUUGGAGUUUGGUACGAGCUGGGAAGGGCACUGGACAUGCACAACAAGAUCCUCUGUCUUUGCCCGACCCUCCUUCUGGAAAAUCGGUGUGAUCAGAGGGGCCGAUGACCGGUCCCUGUUCCGGGUGCGAUGCUACAAUGAGGAGGAGGUGGAAGGCACCCUGGAAGAGUACUUAAACAGACUUGCCAAAGUCUGAGACGGUCAAACUGCACAUCUAAGGUGCCCGUCAAAGUAUAAUAAAAUAUGUAGUUAUGAUUCCCACUUUGUUGUCUCUCAAUGGUUUCUCAAAAAUGAUUAAGAAUCAAGGUUUUUGUAGAGCUUUUAUACAUAUGACGUAUUAUGACUAUAUGUUCUACAUACAGUAAGUACAUGUUUAGUCUUCUUACUGAUUUCAUGUCACUUUGUUGAAGGCUUGUAAAC